AAAGACACUUGCCUGGGAGAGAGAUAACCGUGAUCACCAGGGCAUUUUUUCCAGGACGAGGCUUCUCUGUGGCACUCUGCCUGUGCCGCCCCCUAGAUUUUCCCCAAAUGUGGGAAACUUCAGAGGCAUGACUGUGGUAGUGGGACACUGCGUUUGCAUUUUUCCCCU
rnacentral:snRNA from 1 species